rnacentral:rRNA from 1 species
GGACAGUGUCUGGUGGGUAGUUUGACUGGGGCGGUCUCCUCCUAAAGAGUAACGGAGGAGCACGAAGGUUGGCUAAUCCUGGUCGGACAUCAGGAGGUUAGUGCAAUGGCAUAAGCCAGCUUGACUGCGAGCGUGACGGCGCGAGCAGGUGCGAAAGCAGGUCAUAGUGAUCCGGUGGUUCUGAAUGGAAGGGCCAUCGCUCAACGGAUAAAAGGUACUCCGGGGAUAACAGGCUGAUACCGCCCAAGAGUUCAUAUCGACGGCGGUGUUUGGCACCUCGAUGUCGGCUCAUCACAUCCUGGGGCUGAAGUAGGUCCCAAGGGUAUGGCUGUUCGCCAUUUAAAGUGGUACGCGAGCUGGGUUUAGAACGUCGUGAGACAGUUCGGUCCCUAUCUGCCGUGGGCGCUGGAGAACUGAGGGGGGCUGCUCCUAGUACGAGAGGACCGGAGUGGACGCAUCACUGGUGUUCGGGUUGUCAUGCCAAUGGCACUGCCCGGUAGCUAAAUGCGGAAGAGAUAAGUGCUGAAAGCAUCUAAGCACGAAACUUGCCCCGAGAUGAGUUCUCCCUGAGACUUAGAGUCUCCUGAAGGAACGUUGAAGACGACGACGUUGAUAGGCCGGGUGUGUAAGCGCAGCGAUGCGUUGAGCUAACCGGUACUAAUGAACCGUGAGGCUUAACCUU